UUGUUUUUUGGUGCCGCCUCUCUGUGUCCUCCAACCAUGGGUGCGGCGGUUUAGGGGGGUGCCGCGCAAGCAAAAUCCCAGAAAGGCACCAUCAAAAAACAACAAACACGCCAUCACAAAGAAAACAUCGUCUUGAUCUUAAAACGGGGGCUGUGGCGGCCUGACCAGCUACUUGAGGGAAAACUUGAUAUUUUUUGGAAACCAAAUUUUACAGCAGAAACAGCGUUUUCAUAAAUUUCCAAAGGCCUUAUGCACUGAAUUGGAUUAUAAGGAAUCUUUCUGAGACAACUGCAACAUCAAAGUGAAAACAUUUGGAUUGUUCCCUGAGAUCGACUGUGCCCUCUAUCCAAAGGAUCUGCUGCUGCUUAUCCACUCCACCUGGAACAACUUAGAUGAGCUCAGCCUGCUAAUAACUUGUCAACAAGUGCAAGGUCUUCUUCAACAUCUGCUUCCUCAUCACUCUCUUUGGCCAUCAACAGUGAAAUUACACCACAUGAUUCUGCAUUUUUUGGGUGUGUUCAUG